rnacentral:rRNA from 1 species
AUUGAACGCUGGCGGAAUGCUUUACACAUGCAAGUCGAACGGCAGCACGGACUUCGGUCUGGUGGCGAGUGGCAAACGGGUGAGUAAUAUAUCGGAACGUGCCCAGUCGUGGGGGAUAACGUAGUGAAAAUUACGCUAAUACCGCAUACGAUCUAAGGAUGAAAGCGGGGGAUCGCAAGACCUCGCGCGAUUGGAGCGGCCGAUAUCAGAUUAGCUAGUUGGUGGGGUAAAGGCCCACCAAGGCGACGAUCCGUAGCGGGUCUGAGAGGACGGCCCGCCACACUGGGACUGAGACACGGCCCAGACUCCUACGGGAGGCAGCAGUGGGGGAAUUUUGGACAAUGGGGGAAACCCUGAUCCAGCCAUGCCGCGUGAGUGAAGAAGGCCUCGGUUGUAAAGCUCUUUCGCUGGAGAAUCGCACAGGCUAAUACU